GACUGGGUGGCCGAGUGGUCUAAGGCGCAACGUUAAGGCCGUUGUCUUUGGGCGCGGGUUCGAAUCCCGUCCCAGUCA